rnacentral:lncRNA from 1 species
CUGUUGCUUAAGCUUUUGCCUGAUGACUAACCUGUUUUCUGGAUAUGCCGCAGAAGGAUCCGUGCCAGAAGCAAGCCUGUGAGAUACAGAAAUGUUUACAAGCCAACAGCUACAUGGAAUCAAAGUGUCAGGCUGUCAUCCAAGAACUGCGUAAGUGUUGUGCUCAGUAUCCCAAGGGAAGAUCUGUCGUCUGUUCAGGAUUUGAAAAAGAAGAGGAAGAAAACCUAACACGGAAGUCUGCAUCAAAGUAAAGUUCUUCUGAAGUGCUGCUCCAUGUUUCCACCAAAUGAAUUUUUUUUAUCCUCCUGACUCUUCAGGCCAGGUAGCAGCAAAUAGCAAAUGAAAAAGUCAGCUACAAAAGUUAAUGAAUAUGCCAUCUAUGCAGAACAGGCAGAAAUAUAAACACAUUAAAAGACAAAUAUGUAGAAUGUAAUAUACUGAGCUGCUAAAAUAAACCUGUUUAAGAGAAAAA